AGGGUUCGAUUAUGGCUCAGAACGUACGCUGGCGGCACGCCUAACACAUGCAAGUCGAACGAAGUAGCAAUACUUAGUGGCAGACGGGUGAGUAACAUGUAGGUAUCUGCCCUUUGGCCUGGAAUAACACGAGGAAACUUGUGCUAAUACCGGAUAAGUCUUUACGGAGAAAGCUUUAUGCACCAUUGGAUGAGCCUGCACUUGAUUAGUUUGUUGGUGGGGUAAUGGCCCACCAAGACUGUGAUCAAUAGCUGAUUUGAGAGGAUGAUCAGCCACAUUGGGACUGAGACACGGCCCAAACUCCUACGGGAGGCAGCAGUGGGGAAUCUUGCACAAUGGAGGAAACUCUGAUGCAGCGAUGCCGCGUGAGUGAAGAAGGCCCUUGGGUUGUAAAGCUCUUUCGUCGGGGAAGAAAAUGACUGUACCCAAAUAAGAAGGUCCGGCUAACUUCGUGCCAGCCGCCGCGGUAAU
rnacentral:rRNA from 1 species